rnacentral:rRNA from 1 species
GAUGAACGCUGGCGGCGUGCCUAAUACAUGCAAGUCGAGCGAACAGAUGCGGAGCUUGCUCCUUUGACGUUAGCGGCGGACGGGGGAGUAACACGUGGGUAACCUACCUAUCAGUCUGGGAUAACUUCGGGAAACAGGAGCUAAUACCAGGGAAUAUUCCGAACCGCAUGGUUCGAUAGUGAAAGAUGGUUUUGCUAUCACUUAUAGAUGGACCCGCGCCGUAUUAGCUAGUUGGUAAGGUAACGGCUUACCAAGGCGACGAUACGUAGCCGACCUGAGAGGGGGAUCGGCGACACUGGAGCGGAGACACGGCCCAGAAUCCUACGGGAGGCAGCAGUAGGGAAUCUUCCGCAAUGGGCGAAAGCAUGACGGAGCAGCGCCGCGUGAGUGAUGAAGGUCUUCGGAUCGUAAAACUCUGUUAUUGGGGAAGAACAUACGUGUAAGUAACUGUGCAUGGCUUGACGGUACCUAAUCAGAAAGCCACGGCUAACUACGUG